UACAGAGGGUGCGAGCGUUAAUCGGAAUUACUGGGCGUAAAGCGCACGUAGGCGGCUUGGUAUGUCGGGUGUGAAAUCCCCGGGCUCAACCUGGGAACUGCAUCCGAAACUGCCUUGCUCGAGUAUGGGAGAGGGAAGUGGAAUUUCCGGUGUAGCGGUGAAAUGCGUAGAUAUUGGGAAGAACACCUGAGGCGAAGGCGGGUUGCUGGGCCGACACUGACGCUGAGGCGCGAAAGCCAGGGGAGCAAACGGG
rnacentral:rRNA from 1 species